UACGAAGGGGGCUAGCGUUGUUCGGAGUUACUGGGCGUAAAGGGCGCGUAGGCGGCGCAUCAAGUCAGGCGUGAAAGCCCUGGGCUCAACCCGGGAAUUGCGCUUGAUACUGGUGUGCUUGAGUACGGGAGAGGAUAGUGGAAUUCCCAGUGUAGAGGUGAAAUUCGUAGAUAUCGGGAGGAACACCGGUGGCGAAGGCGGCGACCUGGGUAGAUACUGACGCUGAGGCGCGAAAGCGUGGGGAGCAAACAGG
rnacentral:rRNA from 1 species